rnacentral:rRNA from 1 species
GCACAAGCGGUGGAGCAUGUGGUUUAAUUCGACGCAACGCGAAGAACCUUACCAGCUCUUGACAUGCCCGGUAUGGGGUCGAGAAAUCGGCUCCUUCAGUUCGGCUGGCCGGUGCACAGGUGCUGCAUGGCUGUCGUCAGCUCGUGUCGUGAGAUGUUGGGUUAAGUCCCGCAACGAGCGCAACCCUCACCUUUAGUUGCCAUCAGGUUAAGCUGGGCACUCUAAAGGAACUGCCGGUGACAAGCCGGAGGAAGGCGGGGAUGACGUCAAGUCCUCAUGGCCUUUAUGGGCUGGGCUACACACGUGCUACAAUGGCGGUGACAGUGGGACGCGAAGGGGCAACCCUUGGCCAAUCUCAAAAAGCCGUCUCAGUUCGGAUUGUCCUCUGCAACUCGAGGGCAUGAAGCUGGAAUCGCUAGUAAUCGCGGAUCAGCACGCCGCGGUGAAUACGUUCCCGGGC